AGAACAUCAUUUCCCACCUACCUUGUGGCUUGUCUUUUUAUUCCUGUAGUGGUGUCCUUUGAGGGUUUGGAUCACACUACCACUUAGGUCAGCUGAGGUGAUACCUGAGAGUGAGAAGAAUGUAAAUGGAAAAUGAAGAAGUGAGAACAUUUGUGACAAUAUGAUCCUAAGAUCAACACUGUUAUGGGGCUGUGGUUCAUGCCACUGACCUUCCUCUUUUGGAUUUUUCCUUAGGAAGAGAGGCCUGUGGACAUGGGAUAAGAGUUGGACUAAGGUAGCAAUGAGAUGUGCCUCACAGACCUCCAGCCACAGGGAGCGUGAGUAAUGAUGUUAACUGGCAGACUUCUUCUGAUCUCUCAGCGGUUAAAGCUCAGAUGGAACCCCCUUAUGAAAUAUCCACAAGAUGCUGCUGAGGUGCUCAAGAACUUGUCUGCAGUCCUUGCCUAAGCAGGUUUUCCAACCAAACAAAAACAUCUGCAUGCUGACUUCGAACUUAGUAAAGUCUCAUGUAGAUGGUGAUCAUCAUGACAGAAGUGAUUUUUUUCUCAUUCCUUUUGUGUAUCUCUGAAGUUCCUACUCUGGGCCUUUAACCUAGCACUGUCAUCACCAAACUGUCAGUCCUUGAUUAUCAUCAAUGGUGGAACAACCCUGCCCCAGCUUAUGACAGCAACAAAUUGAGACUCAUCCUUCAGUUAUGUGCACGUAAAUUAUCUAUGCUACCUGAAAGAUUAUUUUUUCACUUACCAAGGUUUUAGCAACUCUAAUUAACGUAUAAUGUUUAGUCUAGAUAUCCAUCUAGAUAUCCAUCAAUUGACUUAACUGAAUUUUAGCUAUCCGAUUGCCUAAAUAAACUUGAUAUAUAACUAUUGUAUAGUCAGAUAAGAAUUUUUAACAUUAAUGAAGAAUUGUUUAAUGGACAAUAACAGUCCCAUUAUUUAAACACUAAAAAGCUAAGUGCUACAGUCAAAAAUUAAACUAAGCUAUUUCUUGAAUUAUUAAUCUAUUUCCACUUAGAUGUCCUCCUUAGAACAUUUUAUAAUCUGAAACACUUGUGACUGUUUUAUGAUUGUUAAAUUUUUACUGAAGGAGUUAAAGCAUUUUCUGCCUAAUACACCUACAAAAAUAACCUUAUUUAACUUGACAAACACAGUCCAAUACAUAUUUAAGCUAUUUUGAAAAUAAUGGAAAAAUCUUAUUAAUAACUGUUUUCUCUUGUGGGGUGUGGUGAAUAGUAAUUUAGGGCAGGUGAGAGCAAAGCAAUUUAACUUUUCCCUUGUUAGUUCCUUUGACCUACAAGUUUGGAGGUCUCUGCAGCACCCUUGAGCUUUUUCCACAGAAUAAAGUAAUAGUUGCUAAGACUUUGCCAAAAAAUAAAAAAAUAAAAAACUAUCUGUUUUGCUGUUAGGUUCUGCCUCUAUCUUGUUCAGGUAUUUCUUGUAUUAUUUCUA
rnacentral:lncRNA from 1 species